rnacentral:lncRNA from 1 species
CAAGGAUCUAUCCUGAAAGAGUUAAGCAGAGACAGGAAAAAAGUGGCAAUCAGGGAAACGACGUAUAGUAUGUGCAAUGGAGAAAAUCCUCUAUCUUGUAUACUGCCCCAGUGCACUUCUAGACAGAGGGUGGGACUGUAAAGGAGCUGUCCUUUCAUUUGGCUAUCCUGCAAGGCUCUUCUAUGUCAGUCCUUCUUCAGAAGCUGGAGAGGAUCUAUAGGCUGUCACCCCAUGGGACAUUGCAGAAGACCUCAGGAGUCCAGAUGGUGGACCUGUCUCCAUUGCCACAGACUGUACCAUUCAUCCCAAUCAGCCGUUCUACAGAAAGCA